rnacentral:rRNA from 1 species
GAUGAACGCUGGCGGCGUGCCUAAUACAUGCAAGUCGAGCGAACGGACGAGAAGCUUGCUUCUCUGAUGUUAGCGGCGGACGGGUGAGUAACACGUGGAUAACCUACCUAUAAGACUGGGAUAACUUCGGGAAACCGGAGCUAAUACCGGAUAAUAUUUUGAACCGCAUGGUUCAAAAGUGAAAGACGGUCUUGCUGUCACUUAUAGAUGGAUCCGCGCUGCAUUAGCUAGUUGGUAAGGUAACGGCUUACCAAGGCAACGAUGCAUAGCCGACCUGAGAGGGUGAUCGGCCACACUGGAACUGAGACACGGUCCAGACUCCUACGGGAGGCAGCAGUAGGGAAUCUUCCGCAAUGGGCGAAAGCCUGACGGAGCAACGCCGCGUGAGUGAUGAAGGCCUACGGAUCGUAAAACUCUGUUAUUAGGGAAGAACAUAUGUGUAAGUAACUGUGCACAUCUUGACGGUACCUAAUCAGAAAGCCACGGCUAACUACGUG